ACGUUUCUUGUGCUCAUUCCUAAAAAGGAAGGAGCCGAAGACCUAAGAGAUUUCAGGCCAAUCAACCUGGUAGGGAGUGUGUACAAAUUGCUUGUCAAGGUCCUUACUAAUAGGUUGAAAUUGGUGAUGGGGAAGGUGAUUUCUGAUUCUCAGCAAGCUUUCAUCUAAGGGAGACAGAUUCUAAACAUUGCUCUAAUUGCUAGCGAGGCCCUUGAUUCUAGAUUGAAAGACAACACGCCGGGCCUCCUCCUUAAGAUGGAUAUUGAGAAGGCAUUUGACCAUGUCAAUUGGGACUUUCUUAUGGUUGUGAUGUCUAAGAUGGGAUUUGGGCAUAGAUGGAUCAAUUGGAUGAAAUGGUGUUGCUCUACAGCUACCUUCUCAAUCUUCAUCAAUGGGAGCCCUUCGGGCUUCUUUCGUAGCUCUAGGGGAUUGAGACAGGAUGACCCCCAUUCCCCCUAUCUUUUCCUUUUGGCCAUGGAAGCUCUUAGUCAACUGCUGUCAAGUGCAAGAAAUGGUGGCUUUAUUUCCGGGUUUAAAGUGGGAGGAAGAGGAAGAGAGGGCUGAUUGUGUCCCAUCUCUUGUUUGUUGAUGAUACCUUGAUUUUUUGUGACGUUAAUGCAAAACAGUUGCAAUAUCUUAGCUGGACUUUUAUGUGGUUUGAGGCGAUUUUAGAGUUAAAAGUUAACUUGAGCAAAAGUGAGGCCAUCCCAGUGGGUGAAGGCGUUCCUAUGGAGACUUUUGCCCCGGUCUUGGGUUGUAAGAUUGGGAGUUUACCCACCUCCUACCUAGGUCUCCCCCUUGGGGCCCCUUACAAAUCCACUAGGGUGUGGGAUGUAGUGGAAGAAAGAUUCAGACAAAGAUUGUCUCUAUGGAAAAGGCAAUAUCUCUCCAAAGGUGGCCGACUUAUCUUGCUAAAAAGCACCCUCUCUAGCCUCCCAACCUACUUUAUUUUUCUCUUUGCGAUUCCCAAGAAAGUGAGUGCAAGGCUCGAAAAGAUUCAAAGGGAUUUUUUAUGGGGCGGAGGCGCCUUAGAGAAUAGACCUCACUUGGUGAGUUGGAAGAUUAUUUGUGCUGCUAAAAAUGAUGGAGGCCUGGGCAUCCACAGCCUAGCUGCCUUUAAUAAGGCCUUACUUGGGAAGUGGUUGUGGAGAUUUGCUAAUGAGAAUGACCCCCUAUGGAAGCAAAUUAUCACUGGAAAGUACAGCAUUCAAGAGGGGGGGUAGUGUUCCAAAGGUUAAGAGACCGUUAUGGUGUGGGGGUUUGGAAGGCCAUCAUAAAUGGUUGGGAGAACAUUAGAACUCACUCCCGUUUCAUCAUAGGGGAUGGUAGUAGAGUGAAAUUUUGGAAGGACUUGUGGUGUGAAAAUCAAUCUCUAGAAGAUGCUUUCCCAAACUUGUUUAACUUAGCAGUCAACAAAGAAGGAUGGGUUGCUAAGGCUUGGGAGGAGGAUGGAGUUGGGGGCAAUUGGGGGCUACGUUUUAAUAGACACCUAAAUGAUUGGGAGGUGGGGGAAGUAGAAAGCUUGUUAAGUAAGCUUCAUCCUUUGACCAUUAGAAGAGGAGUGGAUGACUUGCUUUGGUGGAGAGAGAACAAGAAUGGGACUUUCUCAGUCAAGUCUUUUUAUGACUCGUUCUCAAAGGGCACUAGACCUCCUUUCCCAAAUAGAGUUAUCUCAACGCCUAGGGUUCCAAUUAGGGUAGCUUCUUUGGUUGGAAGGCGGCUUGGAGCAAGCUACUCACCAUUGAUUGCCUAAAGAGAAGUGGUUGGAACAUCCCCAACAGGUGUUAGCUGUGCAAAAAUGAAGAGGAAACCACAAAUCACCUUCUUUUGUUUUGUGAGAAGGCUAGAAUGUUAUGGCUUCUGAUCUUCUCCCUUUUUGGGGUGCAAUGGGUGAUGCACUCCUCUGUUAGGAGGAACCUCUUGGGAUGGCAUGGUUCUUUUGUGGGCAAGAAAAGGGAGAAAGCUUGGAGAGUUGCCCCCAUCUGCUUGUUGUGGACCAUUUGGAAAGAAAGGAAUAGGAGGGCCUUCGACGAUGUUGAGAGGAAUGACCAAGAAAUUAAAUCUAUUUUUUUGUACACUUUUGUGAAUUGGGCUAAGGUGUAUAUAGAGGAACACACUUUCUCUUUGAUUGAUUUUGUAGACUAGUUAGCUACCAAGUAAGGGACAGGCUUGUUGCCUUGUUGCUUUUUGUUCUUUUGUUCCCUGGUAUACUCCGUGUAUACUCUUUAGCCUCUUUGGCUUUUAAUGAAAUUUUCCUUUACCUAUCAAAAAAAAUUCUUUAUUUCUUAUAUACAUCUCAACUACAUGGGUUGCAUACCCUUUUGGUGUUCACUUCAAAACAUCUCAUUUACUUAUUAGAAAAUGUGCUAAUUUCAAAACAUCUCAUUUAGUUAUCACCAAAAAAAUGUGGGAAACAUCUUUCUCUGUGAUAUCCUUGAUAUUUCAACAUUGUCACGGUAUUAUAAAUAUUUCUAAUGUUCUUAUAAUAUCUCAUCUAACAACUUUUUAUAGGAUAAAUUAAAGAAAUUUGUAGAGUCAACCAAUUUUAUUUACAUUUAUCUUCUCAUAAUGUGCAAAGUAAUUUGCAUUUCACAAAAUUAACUUAUGACAUCUAAUUUUGAAAUAUAAGAUCCUUCCAAAGAUUGUCCCCCACACAUCAUCUAUUUAUUAAGAUUAUUUUCUUUUAAUAAGGUUUUGACUCAGAUGCAUUAUUGUUUAUAUAACAAUUCCUAAAACUUUAUAUCAAUUUUUAUGUAUUGCUAGUACUUCAAUCAUUUGUCUCAUCAAUUUCUAGUUUGAUUCUUAUGCUUCCAUAGAAUCUUUAAAUGGUCCCUCUGUCCAAUAUAAUGGCAUGGUCUAUAAUUUUAAAAAACAUAGCAUUGCCGCCUGCAAAAUGCUUGAUGAAACCAUAGAAGAACAGAACAGAGGAAAUGAAACAAACUUAACAAGAUCACAUAAGCAUGGAUUACCCGAUAAUAGAAAGGAAUAUUAAAAUAAAAUAUUACCCCUAAAAAUCACCCCUGAAGACGCACCACCAAUUAUGCCACUCAACGUAACCUUGAAUCCUAGUGGAGAUAGGCUAAAGAAAAACCAAGCAAACUCCAGAAAAAGACAUCUCCAAAAGCCCUACCCGCUCCUCAUUUUCUCUAUUCUAUUUCUUCCACACCAAAAACGCCCGGAAAAUCACACAAAUAUAUAAGCAUUCUUUUUCCGAAAUUUGUACCCAAAGCUAAAAAUAAACACAAAGUACAACUUCAACCAAGCAAAACAAACAUGGCCUGCAGAUUUGGGCUAAUCACCAAAUACUGAAAAGGCCAGUUGAAAUCAUGAAACAAUAAAGAGAACAAACAAACAAUAAAAGAAAAUUAUAAAUAAAAUGGAAAUUACCUUGGACGGCGGGAUGCGGCCAAAGGCCAAGGGGUUAGACGCGAAGAGAAGAGCGGAAUGCUCGAGCUUUAAAUGGAGAAGGCGGUUACAGAAAUCGUUAUCAUAUGAAGAGCAUUGUGUUUUUCGGUGUUGCAUGCCAUGGGUGUCGUGAGUCUCGUGGGACUGAAAUUCCAAUUACACCAUGUUGAAACUUGGAACUUUCCCUCCCUCUCUGCUCUCUGUGUUCAACUUUUUUGUUCUCUUUUAAGUCUUAAAGCGCUUCCCAUUUUUUUCAAAUCCCAUUGUUCUUUCCUCUUCGUUUUUUAUUAUUAUUAUUUUUUAAAAUUUUAAGAUGCGAAAUGUUAUUAUGUUAAGACCUUAUUCAGAAAAAUUGAUUCCAUGGGUUUUCUUAUUUUUUUAAUAAUAUUUUAACUACUAAUAUAUUUAAAUAAUAAAACUAUUAUAAAUAUAUGUAUUAUAAUAUUAAUUAAUUUUAUAUACUAAAUUCAAUAUAUAAGAAUAAUUAUAAUUAUUAUUGAUAUAUUAUUGAUUCAUACAACAAACUAAGGUGGUGUUUGUUUUUUUGGCUUUUUGCUGAAAACCAUUUAGUUUUAGAAUUUAGGUUGUUUGUUUUUUUACUUUUUCAUGACUUAUUACAAAUUUUUUACUAAAUAGAAAAAGCCAAAAUAUGUGGCUUUCUCUAAAUAGAAAAAAUAACACAAUGAUUUUUUUUUACUUUUUAAUACUUAAUAAAAAUAAAAUACUACAAAAAUAAACAACCUAAUAUUUAAUACUAUUAAGUAUUAAGGUUCUAUUUAGAAUUAAGUAAAAAAACAAACACCACCUAAGUCUCAAAAAACAAAUUCGUCAUUAGUAAAAUAAAUGAUUGUCAGAUAUCUAGAUUCUGAGUUUUAUAGUUCUUUUAAUUAUAAUCUCAUCACUGAAGACAACAUUAAAAAAAAUUCAGUUUUGCAAAAGUCCUUUAUCAUUUUCAAAUUUUCUUAUAUUUUCUUUUAAAAAUGAAUUCACUCUAUUUGCACUCUUCUCAAAUACCAUAUGUCAACAAGAAGAAAUUAUCUUCAUCAAAACAUCCAACUGUCCAAAUAUUAUUAUGGAUUUCAACAAGUUUUAAUCUUGUGGAUUCCAACAAGUUUUAAGUCCAUUAAAUUUCUCUAUAAAUAGAGAGAUGAAAUUCAUCACAAGGCUAAGGCGAAAAGAGGCAAACUAGAGUUAGCUAGAGUGUUCCAAAAAUCUCUCUUAACUUUUCGUAAUCCCUCUUCAUUUAAAAAUCUUAUCAUUUGUAAUUAAAUACCUUUAUUAUCAACAAGCCAAUUUGUAAUCAACAACUCAUUAUGAUCAAAGUAUAUUUUCAAUACAUAAUUUAUUUUCAAAUUCAAUUUUUGUGUUGUUGUGUUCAAUUUUUGUUUUCAAUUUUAUGCUUUAUUAGACAAUAAUUAUAAUUUUGAUUCAUAGACGAAUCAUCUUUUGAUGUUUUAGAAAUGUUUUUAUGUCCUAUAUGUGAAUGGUAUCAAAAAUCUAGAUUUUUUUGGGUGUGAGGAUAUAUAAAUUUUUAAUUUUCUUAUAAGUAAUGAUAUUGAUUUUUUCUUAAACUAAAUUAUAUUAUAUUUAACUUGUUACAGAAAAUGUUUAAAACUUUGAAAAAAAAAAUUGUUAAUUUAAUUCUAUUCGAGCUUUUAAAAAUGAGUAAUUUUACUUUAUUUGAGUUUAUAAAAAAUAAUAAAAAUUAUUGAUUUCCUUUUUAGUGUAUUAAAUUAUUUUUAAAAAAUAAAUAAUUUUAUUUCUAUUUUAUUUUUAAAAUAAUUUUAGUAGAUAAACUUGAAAAUAAAAAAUUAUUAUUAUUUUAUUUAAAUUUUAACCACUAAAGUACUAAAAAUGUAGAAAAGUCACUAUUCAUCUAUAGUGUGAAUUUCAAAAGUAUUCAAGCCCAUGUAAAUAUUGUCUUUUUAUUUUUGGAUCUUUUAUUUUAUUUAUAAUAUAAAAAAUAUUCACUUAUUUAUUUUUGAAGAAAUCAUAUUUAUUCUGUUUUUAUUUUGAGUUUUAGAAUUGUCUUGAGUAAAUUAUUUGGUUAUCUCAAUUUUUGUUUCUAAGUUUUGUUUUUUACCAUUUCUUUUUUUGUGUUUUUUUUUUCGUAUCUAUGUUUGCUUUUUUGCCUCUCCUACUUCUUCUCGGGUAGACGAAAAUAAAUUUUGAAAAAUUUUUGUUUCCUAUUGAUUAAGAGGCAAAUUAUUUCACGAGGUGUGGUGGUUGUGCUCUAGUUUAGUUAUUACUAUUGUAAUACGAGUUUUCUAAAUUUGAAAAACCAAUAAAAAAAAUAACUAUCAUUUUAAUUAGUUAUAGUUUAUGUGAAAAGUUUCUAACUUGAUUUUUAUUUUAUUUAUGUAAAAUGUUUUUAAGAAGAGUUUUGAAUUAAGUUCUUUUGGCAUCUCCCUAAGGUGAGAAAAAAAUCUCGUUUAAUAAAAGUAUUAGAAGCAAAAGCAAUUGUUUUGUAAUUUUGAUAUUAAAUAACAUUACUUGAGAUUGUAUUAUUAGUUAAAAAUUAGAAAAUGUGUUGCAUUCGAUGCUAUAAUUAUUAUGAAUAUACGUAUUAUAAAAUUAAUUAGUUUUAUCCACUAAAUUCAAUAUUUAAAAAUAUUAUAAUUAUUGUGAAUAUAUUAUAUAUAAAUAAUAAUAUUUAUAAAAUAAAAAAUUAUGUUUAACAUAUGUGUAGACCUCCUUUUUAAAACUAAGUGGUACUAGUUUUUUUAUUUAUUAUUACUGUUUUUAUAAUUUAAAUCAAAGGGUGUUUCAUGGCCACCUAGGAGGAGUUGGAGAGCUUUCCAUUUGGAGUGGGGGACAGCUUUCGCGAAGCUCAAUGCAUGGACGUGUGGCAAGGACCACCACCUUUCCAUGGUGGUGGUUGAGAGAGGGACAUCUCCGAACGAGGGGAAUGAUGGCUGGAACAUAGAGCUUCAUAGGAUGACAGUUGAAGUAGGGGAGCUGGUGGUGACGUCUUGGUUGAAUUGGGAGCAAAAAAGUUGGUAGUGGCUUGCGAGAGAAGACAAAAAAAAAGAGGGGCAAAAAGCUAAAAUGGGAGCGAGAGAGGUUUAAGGGGAGUUAGGAAGAAAAUUUGGUGGAGCUGGAGAGGGAACCGGUGAGAAGAAGUGAGAGGUUGAGCUAAGCAUUAGGAAGUCGAGCAAUCUCUGUUUUAGAUGAGCUCUCAGGUAAGUUUAUCAUGUAUUUCUUGUUCAUCUUCACUACCACUAUUCUCUUCUUGCUAUUUGGAGUUUCGUUUGUUUGUUUUGUUAUGGAUAACAGAAGCUACACAGGAGUUCUGAUGAUUUUUGGCUCGUUCAUAUGCUUAUUUUUAUUGUUUCAUUCACCGUUCCUUUAGUAUUGUUUGAACUCAAUGAAACUCUGUUUCAUCUUGCUUUAUUUGAAGAUAUUGGUUGUCUAUUUUUUUUCUUAGUUCAUAUAUUGUUUGUUUGUUUUUUUUUUUUUGUUCUCCUCCGUUCUGGUCUUUGUUCUUCCUUGUUAGUUUUUUUAAUGCACUCGAUUAUGGGACGUGGAUUGAUUAAUUAAUCAGUCGGAAGGAUUGUUCUUGAGGCUUGUGGAGUUGAACACGAAGAGUAUGGCCGUGCAUGGCUCCCUCAAGACUCUUGCAAAAUCCAUCACCCGCUAUAUCCAUUAUCAUCCACAUCCCUUAUUUUCCAUAUCCAUUUUCUCCAUCAAUCACACCCAUUGCAGCCAUUUGUUUCACCACCUCAUCCAUGCAAACUCAUUCUCACUCCCAUGCACAUGGCCGCCUCCAUUUUCAUUCCUCCAUCCUUCGUACUCACUGAACUUAUCACUAUACCCACCAUAUUUCAUUCAUUUCCACACCAUACCCACCACAUCAAACCCAUCCUUCAUUCCUCCCAUCCUCCAUACCCACUGAUCGCUCAUGAUUUUGCCUUUUAUUAUAUCAAAACAAAAUUUAUAACCUAAUUCACUAUUAUAUAGCAAUUUGUACCCGAUCAAAAAGUAGUUUUAGUACAAACUACUGUAGUAGAGUGGUUUUUUAGGUAUUGUCCACAAUGAUGAAUUAUUCUUGGUAAUUAAGGCUUGAAUGAAAUGAUUGUGAUCGAAUGAAAUUGACUUGAAAUUGCAUGAUAAAAUUCCAAAAUAACAAUAUAUUCAAAUUGAGAGAAAAAUGAAGUGUAAAAGAGAAUAAAAUUAAUAGGAGGUGAAAUUCUCGGAGUUAGGAUUUUCUAGAAAACAAUUUCUAUGGUGAAUAGAUGUUAAGAUCUAAUUUUCAUCAAGUUAGAUUGAAAACCUAAAUUUUCAUCUAAACCAAUUUUUGAUUUAGCUUUAGGUUUAGAUCUAAUUUCUCUUCAAAUUAGGUAAUCUAAUCCAAGAGAUCAAUUCAAAUCAUAUAUUCAAUUCAUCUUAAAUUAUAUUCCAAUUAUUCACACAAUGUAACUAUUCAAUCUCAUCAAAUCUAGCAUUAAGAAUUUGAUGAAUCUACCUAACUUGCAUUGUAGUAAUCAUCCAAGACAAUUUGAAGAGAAGAAUCCUCAAAUUUCAAUUAAUCAAUCUAUUGGAUCAAAUUACUUUUUUAAUUCAAGCUCAAUUCUCUAAUUCAUCAUAGAUCUUGCCUCUAGAUUCUCCCUCAUCUGAGAAAAACAAGAUUUAGCCACUCAUGCUUGGAGAUUUGGUCUCACAAGGCAUAUUUGGCUAGUGAGAAAAUGAGAGAAAAUGAAGGAAAGUAAAAAAUUCUAUAGAGAGAAAAUAUGAAAAGUUCUACAAUUAGAAAAAUGUAAAAAAAAGUCUUUCAAUGAGUCAAUCCCGUUUCUAUUUAUAGGCCAAGGUCAAGUGGACACUUGGCAUCAUCUAAGAGGUCUUCCGGAGGCUUCUUCAUCAAGGAAUCUAAAGAAAAUACAUUUUAGCACGAGCCCCAACAAUUUCGCACGAUGGUACGAAGUGGAGAAUCCAUCAGCAUUAUUUUUGUCUUCCUGUAGCGUUUCACAUGACUAUGCGAAUAUUUCGCAUGGUCAUGAGAAAUUGAAAAACAUGCUUUUUUAACUUCUCUUUGCAAUCUCUCCCAUUUUUUCAUUUUUAAUCCACCUCUACCACCUUUAAUUGAGUUCCAAAUCCCAAUCCAAACCGAUUGCAUUGCUUCUUUCAUCAUGUAUUUGGAUCAUCAUCAACUUUAUUUGUUUUCUUCAAUUUGAUUCAUCUCUUUUGUCACCAAUUUAUCAAAAUCAUACCUUGAAAUAACUCUAAAACUUCCUAAAACUUGUUAGUAACUCUCGCAAGGGCAACAACAUGUUAAUUGAGUAUUUUAGGCAAAAUUGCUACUUUAAAGAUGUGAAACUCAUGAGAAUUAUUAUAUAAAAUAUGCUCUUUUUGAGUAGUAAUCACCCACCAUUUAUCUCUCUACACCAUGUACCCAUUUUCUAUACCCAUCAAACCACCUAUUUCUACCCAUCUCACUACAUCUUUUCAUCUUUCCAUACCCCCAUCACCCACUUCCCUCACUAAUUUCCAUCACCCAUCCAUCAUUCAUUUCAUACCCGUUUAACUCUAUUACCCACAUGCAUGGAGUCUGAUGCACUAGAUAAUGCUAAAACGAGGUUGUAUGGUGAUAAGAGAAGAUUGUAUUUCUCGAAACUGCAGCUAGAAAUAGGAAUUUUGGGUGCCAAAUGCAACACAUAGGGGGUUUUCCUCACCUACAGAAAGUUAUGGUGCCUCCAAAAACUUACCUAAGAAACGAGUUCCAUGUGCAUAGUAGUGAGAAUGGCGGUUAAGUAGGGAGGUGGUAGUAUGUGAUGUAAAAAAAUGGGUUUGUGGUGCUCUCUGGUAAUACAUGGAGUGGGUUGUGAGUGUUAGCAAUACAUGGAAUGAUUUUGGUUGGGGUAAUCUUCUUGUAUGACAUACAGGGGCAUUUGGUGGAGCCACAGAUGAAAUUUGCAUGCUUGCAGGCACGUUGCAUGAGUUGCAAUUCAAUUCUUUUGUUUGUUUUGGGCUGCCAUGAUGCUCCAGGCCCAUGAAUUUUAUUUGAAGGCCUUUCUACACCUUGGACCCACCACUAAGUGUGGUCAUUUUGGCCCACAGUCCCAAUGGACACUUGAUUUUUUUUUGUUUAUGGAUAUUUUAAUAACUUUCUUAACUCAGUUUUUCAAAUACCUUUCAUAAUUCCACUUAUCAAAUAAUAUCAAAACUUUUAUUUUAUAAUAGUCUUUCUUAGUUCCAAUUCUCAAAUAAUUUUAAAUUUUCCAUUUUUGAAUAAUUUUCCGAAAUUCCAAUUUUCACGUUUAUUCAUUUAAUCAUUAUUAUUUUUUUUAUUAUUUUAUUUAUUUAUCUAUUUUUGAAAAUUCAAUAUUCACUUAAUUUUCAAAAUUCCAAUUCUUAAAUUUAAUUUUCGAAAAUUCCAACUCUCAAAUAAUUUUUUAAAAUUCCAAUUUCUUUCAAAUUUAAUUCCCACAACUCCAAUUCUUAAAUUUAAUUUUAAAAAAAAAUCCCAAACCUUCAAAUAAAUUUUUGAAACUCCAAUUUCUUUCAAAUCUAAUUUUCAAAAAAUUUCAUUCUCAAUGAUUCUUCAAAAUUCCAUUUUCUUAAACUUAAUUUUCAAAUUUCUAUUUUCAAAUAAUUUUUUCAAAAUUUCGAUCCUCAAAUUUAAUCUUUAAAACUCCCAUUUUAAAAUAGUUAUUCAAAAUUCCCAUUUACAAAUUAAAUUUCUAAUUUCAAAAAUCUCAAUAUUCACGUUCAUUUAUUUAAUUAUUAUUUUCGCUUUUAUUAUUUUUAUUUAUAUUUAUUCAUUUAUUUAUUUUUAAAAUUUUCAUCUUUAAACAAUUUUUCAAAAAAAAUAUUAUUAUUAUUCUCCAAUAAAAAUGGCCCCACGGGUUCAAUUCUCUCAUGAUGCAAAUGGUUUAGCAGCUAGCAUUUUGACUUAUUUUCCAACCAAACCUACCAUUUUGCACCUAGGCCACACGUUGCAUGGCCAUCUGGGCAUGCAACCUAUCACCACCACUCGUUACUUAUUCAUUUAUAUUUUGACAUUAAAGUUCAAUUUUUCAAAAUUCUGACUUUCGAAUAUAAAUUUCCAAUUUCAAAAAUCUCAAUAUUCACGUUCAUUUAUUUAAUUAUUAUUUUCGUUAUUAUUAUUAUUCUAUUUAUUUAUUUAUUUUAAAAUUCCAUCUUUAAACAAUUUUUCAAAUUUUCGACUUCCGAAUUUAAAUUUCCAAUUUCAAAAAUCUCAAUAUUCACGUUCAUUUAUUUAAUUAUUAUUUUCGUUUUUAUUAUUAUUCUUCUUAUUUAUUUAUUUUAAAAUUCCAUCUUUAAACAAUUUUUCAAAAUUCCGACUUUCGAAUUUAAAUUUCCAAUUUCAAAAAAAUUUCAAUUUUCACAUUUAUUUAAUGAUAAUUAUUUUUGUUAUUAUUAUUAUUAUUAUUAUUAUUAUUUAUUUUUAAAAUUUCUAUCUUUAAAUAACUCUUCAAAAUUUCAAUUCCCCAAUUUAAUUUCUAAUUUCCAAAAUUUCAAUUUUCGCAUUUGUUUAUUAUUACUAUUAUUUUAUUUAUUUAUUCAUCUAUUUAUUUUGAAAUCUAAUUUCUAAAACUCCAAUUCAUAAUUUAAUUCUUCAAAAUUCAAUUCUCGAAAUAAUUUUAUAAGACUCUAAUUUUGAAUUUAAUUUUCCAAAAAAAAAUUCCAAAAUUCCGAAUUUAAUUUUUAAAAUCCCCGUUCUUAAAUUUAAUUUUCAGAAUUUCAAUUUCUUUCAAAUAAUUUUCAAAUUUAAUUUUCUUAACUUUAAUUUUUAAAAAAAUUUCCAAAAUUCCAAUUUUCAAACUUAUUCUUUUAGAAAUUUCCAUUCUCAAAUACUUUUUCAAAAUCCCAAUUUUCGCAUUUAAUUUUUAAGAAAUCUCAUUCCCAAAUAAUUUUUCCAAGUUCCAAUUUACAUGGCUCCCAGUUUCAAAUUAUUUUUCUAAAAUUCCAAUUUUCCAAUUUUGUUCUUAAAAUUUCGAUUUUCAAUUUAGUUACAAAACUUGAUUUUCAAAAAUUUGUCUUUCAAGUGGUUUUAAAUCUUUUAAAUUCUUUAUUUGAUUUGUGUAUUUGCCUAAUUUAAUUAUUUUAUUUAUUCAUCUUUCACAUAAUUAUUCAUUUAUUUAUUUUAUUAUUUUACUUAUUUUAUUUGUUUAUUUAUUUGUUUGCCAUUAUUAUUAUUAUUGUUAUUAUUACUGUUAUUUUAUUCUUUCUUUAUUUUCCUUUUUUUCAUCAGAAUCCUGAUUCACCAAAAUCUAAUUUUUUUAAUAAACGUGCUGCCAUUUUUCAUUCAGACAUGCAUCUUGUGAUUUUCUUCGAUUUUUAAUUAUUUUCCUCGUUUUUCACUGUUUUAAUAAGCACGAAGACAAUUUUCAUAAUCCCAAGAUAAUGGUAUUUGUGAGAUUAAUUCAUGCAAGAUCAAUUGGGUUUUGGUGGGACCCAACAUAUGUGGUUUUCUCAUUGAUUGAUUGAUUGAUUACUAUGCUUGAUUGGCUUACCUCACUCUAUGACAUGCAUAAGAUUAUUCUGUAUUUGUGCGCUAACCUUAUCUCUUAUGAUAGCGCUUAGCUUGAAACUAAGGUACGCUUCGUACUUGAUUGUGUACAUCAAUUUAUUUGUUAUCAUGCAUGUCUUACUUUCACACAUUUGAUCACUAUUCAGUAUCCAUGUUUAAUCAAUCAAUUGUUAUACUUGCUUCAUUUUAUUAGUAGAGACCCAUCUUUUGGGACUUUACUAUACCUUCCCGAUAAGUAACCUAACUCCCAAACCCGAUUUGGUUUUUCAUAGACCACAUUUUCUGAAAUAAGGAGUCACACUUAGGGUUUUCCUUCUUAUUUUGUUUACCUUUUUAAAAAAAAAAAAUAAAUAAGUGGCAACUCCAAGUCAUUUUCUAAUCAAUAAAUCUUUUUUUCAAAUAAAAAGUGAACUCCCCGUCGAGUGGGGACGCACGCGAAAAUGCAGGGUCCACAAUAUGAUAUUAAAAAAAUAAUUUUAAAUUAAAUUAGACAUUGAUUAAAAAAAAAGUCUUUAUCUCAUAUUUUGUCUUUAAAUUAAUUUAAUUAAUUAUAAUUAUAAAUAAAAGUGAAAAAUGGGUUUUGACUCACUAAUAUAAAAAUAUAUGAAAAAAAGAAUCCUAAAUUUUUAAAUUAGUAUUAUCUUCAUAUAUUUAAAAAUAAUUUGAAAUACAUGUACUUUUUAAUAACUCAUCUAAUUAUUCCUUAAAAUGUCUCUUUCACUUGUUAUGUCAUCAACAUUAAUUGAUAACUAGAUUGCUUUUCGUAAAUAUUUCAUUCUUUUUAGAUUUAUUAUUAUUAUUAUUAUUAAUGAACAUCUUAUUAACAAAUACUUUUUGGUUGACUAGACUAUAAAAUAAAUAACCUAUUGUCACCUUCAACUAACCUACAAAUAGACAAACACUAGAUCUAGAUUCAACACAUGUGUUGGGCACUGCACCCCCUAUCUAGAUAUGGUGUAAACUAGAUUUAUGACCACUCCAAAUCUUUAAAAGAGUAGUAGGCACUAACUUAGAUGUGACUAGGUUCAAAAUGUAGAUCCUUAUUUCUAAAGCAUAACCCUAGAAAAAGGCUCGUAAUGUUGAAAAACUCAUCAUUAAUCUCACUAUGUCUAUGAAAGUUCAAUUUUUGCUUUCUACUAUUCCAUUUUGUUGUGUAGUUCCAUGAGCACUUAAUUGGGAUAUAAUCUCAUGCUCCCUAAGGAAAUAAUCAAAUUCACCAUAUAUGUAUUCAUCACCUUGAUCAAAUCGAAGUGCCUUGACAAAAUACUUUUCUUAUUCCACCUUAAAUUCUUUGAAUUUAUCAAAGGCAUCAAAUUUCCUAACCAUUACGUAAACAUAUCCAUACCUAGAGUAAUCAUAAGUAAAUGUAAUGAAAUACUCAUAUCAUUCACAUGCACAGACAUUGAAAGGUCCACACACAUCGGUGUGCACUAACUCCAGACAUUCAAAUGCUCUAUGUUCUUUAGAUUUAAAAGGUCGCCUCAUCAUUUUACCUUUAAUGCAGGAUUCACAUAAUGGCAACGCUUCAAGAACCAAUGUUUCUAAUGGACUUGAACUCAACAAUCAUGGAAUCCUACUCAAGAUUAUAUGACCCAACCUUAGGUGCCAAACGUUUUUCUGAUUAGUGGUAGGUUGUUUUCUUUUACGAGUCAAUGUAUUCUCAACUUGGUUAGUUUCCAUAAAAGUUGCAAUAAUAUAGUAAAAAUUGUCAAACGAUUUUCCAGUACAAAUAAACAUCUUAUUCUUUCUUAGAACAAUGGAAAUAUCAUUAAAAGAAAGUGAAUAGUUCAUUUUACAUAGACUAUGGAUUGAAAUUAAAUUCUUUCUAGACUCCGACACAUAUAAGCAAUCCUAGAGUUCCUGAAUAUUAUUCCCUCUAACUAGUAGCUAGUCUAAUUGUUCCAUUAAAGGGAUUUUUGAAACUACAUUAACUGACUUAUGAUUCUUAAGAAUCCCCUCAACCAUUUGUUAUUCCUUCAUCACAUUUGGUAAUGAUAAGAUCAUUAAAUUCAUUGUAUAGUUCAAAUUAAACUAACUAAAGGAUGUUGGUAAGGUCUCAUUAAAGAGACUAAUCCAAGGAUCUCCAUCUCAUUAAAGAUAUUGAUCAUCUUGAUCAUUAACAAAGGUUCCUUUAGACAUCCUUGUGUUCAUUAUCAACCUUAGGAUUGCUUGUCUAGUAGAUCUACCCUUGUCACCAAACAUCUCUUAUAGCUUGGAAAGGAAAUCAUAUGCAAAAUAAAAGGAUUGAUGUUGUUGUAGCAUAUUGUCAAGCGACCUAGGAUGUAACACCUCAUUAUCUCAUCAUUCUUUUUCCACUUCUAAUAUGUUUCCUUUUCAUCCUAUGUGAAGGAUUCAGAAGGACCAAUUGGUGGAAGCUCGAGUUAUCCAAAAGAGUUGCUUGAUGGUAAGGACUAUUAUUAAAUUCCUCGUGGACUAAAAGACAUGAUUAGCUAUAUCAAACGUAAAUAAAAUGUACACUAAUGAUAAUGCUCAAACCAACAAACCAAUUAAUAUGCAUUAAUUCUUCAAUAAUUUUAAAUAUUUUAUAGUACUCUAUAAAACUAGAAAAUUAAUUACUAUAGUAUCCCAGUUUCAUAAGAACUUUCUAUCCCAUUUUAGGCGGGCAUAGAUUCUUACAAUCAGGUAGAACACAUAUCUAAUCAAUCUCAUCAUCUAUGAUCAAUCAUAAGAUGAGAUUAACAUACCAUAUAUUUGGCCACUUGAAAAGAAUGAAAAAGGAAGUACUUUAAGGCAAUUAUACUAUCCUAAUCAAGUCAAGUGUACAACUAUUACCAUUGAUAUCAAUGUUAUUGAGUAAAAAAGUUCCAUUGUAGGAUCGGCCACUCUUCCCUACAAACUUAUGUAUUUUAUCCAUAAAGGAAGUUCAAAAUCUAUGACACCAUAAACACACCAAUCUUUAGGAAGCUUGUACCUAUCACCAAAUUGAACUUGGUAGUAGGAGACCGUGAAUUUGUUGAGACCCUCUCUCACUUGAGGUUUUGAAAAAUAAUGAGAGUUUCCAACUCAUUUACAAAAAUUUUAUUUCUCAUCAAAUAUUAAUUUUCUCUUAAAACUUUCUAAUUACAGAAAGUACCAAAUUCCCUUUUAUGGAAAGCUUGCCAAAUAGGACCGGUCAGUACUUAAAGAAAAAUCCACUUUCCAUAUUUUGGAAAAAAAAAAAAAGUGACUUGGACUUUCUUAUCUUUACUAAUCUAAUUUGAAAUGAAAUUUUCAAAAUAGUAUUCAAAAUUGGCUUUACUUUUCAUAAUUAUUUCCAUAAUUUAAUAAGAAUUAAUCAAUCAAUUAUUUUCUAAAAUUUUACAUAUAUCCUUAAUUUAUUUCAAUUUUUUUAUGCAUUAAAAUUUAAAUAAUUAAUUUCACUCAUUUAAUUUUAUAACUACCCAUCAAAUUGCAUUUUUUUUACCUUUUUUUUUAAUUAUGAAAUUUAAAUCUUGGAACAUUAAUUAACUAAGAUCUACAAAUCAAAAUUCCUUAAUUAUCCCAAUUUUGCAUUUUUAAAAUCUAUGAAAAUUUUAUGCACAAAUUUUUGGACAAUUAAAUCUUAAUUUUAUCAAGUUUAAAUAUCCUAAUUAAUAUGUAUUUCGCAUUUCCAAAAUUAUCAAGGAUUUUUUUAAUCCUAUAAUUUUAUGCAAAAAAAUUAAUUACAUUAAACUUGUAUUAUCCUAGCAUUUCAUGCAUCAUCAAAAUCAUUCAAGAUUCUCAAUUAUGCAUCAAAAUAUUUUUCUGGGAUAGAUUUUAAAUUAUUAUUUAAUUAAUGCAUGCAACCAAGCAUUUAAAAAUAAGAGGCACGUGUAUUAUAAAAUUAAUAGCAUGCAAACAAAUAUUAAUAAUAAGUAGUUUGAUUUUAAAGCUGUAGCCCAUGGUCGGUCCACAUACAAUGGAAGCAAGUGGAGUGCAUUCACAUGUUUGGAAGAGACCUAUUGUUGUACUUGUACUCCACUAAUUUCCAAAACGAGGUUGUCAAUUUUGGUCAUAAAUCUCAUGCCUGAAACUCCCCAUUUAAUUCCGCUAGUAGCCAUGCUUGUAGACUGACAAAUUACAAUGGAACUAGGAAAAUUAAAAUUAGCUCAAUAGAGGCUUAUACAACCCAAUUGAAGAAUCGGAAACAAACCCUAUAAAGCCCACAAAACUAAUGGAAAUGUAAAAAAAAAAAAACUCUUAAAAAUGAAAUUAAAAGUAUAAUAGAUAUUUUAAAGUUGUUUGUUGAAAAAAUGAUAUAUAUAUAUAUAUAUAUAUAUAUAUAUAUAUAUAUAUAUAUAUAUAUUGUGUCAGUCCAUAAGAAAUGUAAAUUUUGUAAGUGUACACUCAUGAAGCUACAUGAAAGAUUUGAUUUUAUUAAAUAUCAAUAAUUUAUACAUAUUAAAUUGUAAUGACCCUUUUGUACCAAAAUGAUGACCGAUGUGGUUCAAUGGAAUUGGUAGAUGAAGGAAUCCUAUCUUGUUGUUGAAGACAAUAUUGGUACCAACUCACUAAGUCUCGAUAGUAUUGAUUAAAAUUCUGAAUAUGCCAUGCAUAGAUCACUUGAGUCCUACCCAUCGCUUCUACAUGGAUGAAACACUUAGGAUUCACCCAUGUGCUCGUGUCAAGUCCUCCUUGCAUCUAAUAUGGAACAUGGUAUGAUAUUUGUGUAAAAAGAGAAUAAUUGGACAUAUCAUACUCUUCAUCGAUUGAACUUGGAGCCCAUCACAUAAUUUUGAGAACAUUUACCAUAACUCAUCACAUAAGGAGGGUAAACGUUAGCCUCAUUCAAUGAGUCAAUAAAUUUAAUCCCUAUACUCAGACUUAAAACUAGGUGAAAAUAACUCCUAGUUAAAUGAUGUCAUUGUCCAUUAUUUCAUUUGUAUGACUUCCUAAUUGCUCCUAUGCCUAGACUAGUUUUUCUAGAGUUAUGGUUUUCAUUUUGUAUGCAAUGCGUGAAAUCAUCUUCAUAAGUGAAUGGGCUCAUUCGAUAUUAACAUUGUUGUUGUUGCCCAAUGGCUCCUCCAUUACUUCCUUUAUUAUCACAUCCAUCAUCAGUUCCACCUCAUGAACCAUAGUAACCAAAAACAGAAGUACCAACAACGCUAGGUCUACUACUUUGCCCAACGUUUGUGAAGUCAAACAAAGGUUGGGAAUUCAAUGUCCCCUUAAAUGAAUACUCAAUGUAUUUGCUAAAACUCUUAUUAUGAACUUCUUCAAACAACACUUGUUCAAUAACAAGACCAAAUUCUCGAGUAUGAAUGAUAAUUCGUGGAUCAAGAUUUCAAACGUCAUCAUCUAAGUGUAGAGGUCUGACCUAUUAGAACAAUUGAUUAUCAUUUACUUCACUUACCUUAGCUGAAAUGUCAAGGAAAUCAAGGUAAUCUUUCUCAGCAACUUCAUCAUUUCUGUUUUUAUAUUGCAUACCUUAAGUUUUAUGUUAUAGCAAUACCAAAAAAAAAAAACUAAUUGUUGCAGUCAGAGGCAAGCCGAAUGAUUUCGUUGCUUCGUGUGGAUGAGAGCAAAUGUACUCCGAUUUCUCUCAUAGGUAAAAGAUAAUGGAAAUUGUGAAAGAACUUUGAUGACCAACUUCUUCAAUGUAGGUGUAUGGUUUCUAUAAAUGAACCACUAUUCAGUUGCAACCAAAUUCAUAAUUAUAUAAAUACUUAUGUUGUAAAUUUAUAACAAUGAUAAUCAAUAUAGUUUUCUAUUAAGAAAUAGACUAUACUCAUUUGAAACCAUGGUUGACUUUGUUACAACCACCGCUCGAUCACCGAAUCAUCUAUUCACAUCUCGAAAAAGUAGAAGUUAUGUAUUCACUAUAUCAAUAUCAUAUUUUUAGUAAAUGUUGAGAGAAAUUGAUGAAUGAAAUUAUUAUUUGAUUAGAUUGGGUAAUAAAAUAGUUUUUAGUUUACCUCAUUUCCAAAUUGACAAAACACUUUAGUUGUUGGGUUUAAUUUAGCAAAAGCCUCAUGGACCACUUGAAGUAACUUAAGAUCGCUACCAACUUCACGCCUAUAUUGAAACCUAGGAAUUAAUAAGUAUGUUAUAACAAAUUAAGUAGAGUUAGUAUUUUGUAAGAGAAAAUUAUAUAAAUCAAGACUAAUAACUUAUGGAAAUGAAUUGUACUUAAUUACCUACUACAUGAAGUGAAUGUUAUAGUGUUUUUUCCCAACGAUCUUUGAUUAUUUGGAACAUCCAUUCUCUAACAUGUAGACGAAUAAGGUUAUUUUUUAUCACUUGCAUAAGCUCGUACAUAAAGGGCAUUGUAGAAACAACUUUUAAAUCCACAAGUCAAAGCACCAUGUAUAGCGACUCAUAUAAUAAAAGUACUUUUGCCAUUUUGUUCUAAUACGGAUGGUCGAACAUUAAUUUCUCCACUUCUUGUCCGAUUUUUGUCUAACUAAGCUUAUGUUGUGCCAAUUCAUCACUUGUAAACAAUUUCUUCAAAUCAACCAUUUUUUUUGGAAGGUUGUUAAAAGCAAUAUAAUUGGUGGCAAACCUCGUAACUCCAGGUCAAACAAUGUCUUCACUACAUAACUUUUUCAUUUGUGCAAGUAACCAACUAUGGUUGUAAAUGAAGUUGGUUAUCUUGCGGGCAUUGGUUAUUACUUCUAUAACACAUGACUUUUUUAUUGAUAUCUUUAAACAUUAUGGGAUGCAAUGCACAACAGACAAAGUCCAAUAUAUGUUAAACUUCUUCAUCAACAUUUUUUUUGCUUUCAUGAAUGUCGACCCAUUAUCUAUGACAAGUUAGUCCAUGUUUUCUUUUAAUAUUGCAAUGAUAUAGUACAAAUUGUUCAACGAUGUGCCAUUACAAAUGAACAUAUUAUUCUUUCUUAGAACAAUGGAAGUAUCAUUAAAAGAAACUAGAUAAUUCAUUUUAUAUUGACUAGAGAUUAAAAUUAAAUUCUUUAUAGACUUCAACGCAUAUAAACAAUCAUAGAGUUUUAGAUUAUUAUUCCUCAAAUUGGUAGUUUAAUUGUUCCCAUAACAUGAACAAUUAUCUGAGUAGAAAAGGCAAGAGUCAUAAACAUCUCUCCAUCAUCGAGUCAUUUGCAAACCUGAAGCCCGUUUUAUAAAGAAUUACAUAAAUGGCUUUAGAAUCUAUCCACCAAUAGCUAGUGAAAUUUGCCACUAAGCAAGACUUAAUAACUAAAAGUGAGUGAUUACAUUUCUUAUUUUUGUGGAACUCAAGGCAUUCAUUUUUCUAGUGGCCCUUUUUGCCACAAAAGAAACACUUCCUUGUAGGUUUCUUCCUGAUCACCUUUCUACCCUUAUUCUUUCCUUGUUUGGAUUUAGAUGAAUUACUAAGAUUAGAGUUAGAAUUCUUCCUCUUUAUUUUCGAAGAUUUGGAAGAGUUUUCUUAAACUACAUUAAUUGACUUAUGAGUCCUAAGAAUCCCCUCAAACAUUUAUAAUUCCUUCAUCAACUUAAAUUGACAAAAGGAUGUUAGUAAGGUCUCAAGUAUCAUUUCAAUCUUAGUUUCACCAUCAAUCUCUGCUACAAAGAUCUUCAUCUCAUUAAAAAGACUGAUCAUCUUGAUCAUAUGCUAUCCAACAAAGGUUCUUUCAAACAUCCUUGUGUUCAUUAUAAACCUUAAGGUUGCUUGUCUAGUAGAUAGACCCUUGUCAAUGAACAUCUCUUGCAUGUUAUAAAGGAAAUCAUAUGUAGUAGAAAAUGAUUGAUGUUGUUGUACCACAUGGUAGAGUGACCUGAGGAUGUAACACCUUAUCAUCUCGUCGAUCAUCAUUUUUCCAGUUCUAGUAUGCUUCUUUUCCAUCCUGUGUGGAUGAUUCACAAGGAGCAAUUGGUGGAUACUCUUAAGUUAUCCAAAAGAGUUGUGCGAUGAAAAUGACUAUAAUUAAAUACCUCCUCCAACCAACAUAGUUUGGUCCAAUUAAUUUGUUUUGGGUGAGAAUGAUUGUAAUUAAAAUGAAAGACAUGAUUAUCAAUAACAAAUGUAAAUUAAAUGUGCACUAAUAAUAAUGAAUACUCAAAACGACAAAUGAAUUAAUAUGCAUUAAUUAUUUAGUAAUUUUAAAUAUUUUAUAAAUUAAUUGCUAUGGUAUCCCAAUUUCAUAAGAAUUUUCUAUCCUAUGUUGGACAAGCGUAGAUCCAUACAAUUGGGUAGAGCACUUAUCUGAUCAAUCUCACCAUCUAUGAUAAAUUAUAAGAUGAAACUAACAUAUCAUAUAUUUGGCCACAUGAAAUAAAUGGAAGAGAAUGCUUUAAGCAAUUGUACCAUCCUAAUCAAGUCAAUUGGCUAGAUUGUAGUAAAGAUACUACCAACUUGAUAGUUGAAGUGCUCCAAUUUGAAAUUUCUAAAAUAGUUUUCAAAUUCAACUUUAUUGUUCAAAAUUAUUUCCAUAAUAUAAUUAGAGUUAAAUAAUUAAUCAUUUUCCAAAAUUUUAUGCAUAUCCAAAAUUGAUUUCAAUUCUUUUUAUGCAUUGAAAUUUAAAUAACCAUUAAAUUGCAUUUUUGCCUUUUUUUUAUAAAAAAAAAUGCAAUUUAAAUCUUGGAUAAUUAAUUAACUAAGAUCUACAAAUUAAAAUUCCUUAAUUAUCCUAAUUUUGCAUUUGAAAAUUUUAUGCACAAUUUUUUGGACAAUUAUAAUCUUAAUUUUACCAAGUUUAAAUUUCCUAAUUAACAUUUAUUUUGCAUUUCCAAAAUAUCAAGGAUUUUUCUAAUUCUAUAAUUUUAUGCAAAAAAAUUAAUUACAUUAAACUUGUAUUAUAAAAUUAAUAACAUACAAACAAACAAUAAUAAUAAGCCGUUUGAUUUUAGAAUUGCUUAAAAGCAAGCAAGUGAAUUAUUCACAUGCUUGGAAGAGCUGAUGUUGUACUCCACCAAUUUCCAAAAUGAGCUUACUAAUUAAAGUCAUAAAUCUCAUGCUUGAAACUCCCCAUUUAGCUCCACAAAUAGCCAUGCUUGUAUACUGACAAAUUUUUUCCCAUUUCAAUUAUACUUUUAACCCAAAACCAGACCAUUUAAAUCUUCAUUCAAGUUUUGCAUUAAACCAUCAAUUUCAUAAUAAUGCCCAUGGAAACCACCAUAUGACCCACCAAUAAUUCAACAUGAAACAUCAUAAACAAUCCAACAAGAAAAUUUUUGGCAAGCCAAAUUUUCAAGAUUUUAAAACGCCAAAAACUUCAUUUCCAGUAUGAGCUUACUAAUUAAAGUCAUAAAUCUCAUGCUUGAAACUCCCCAUUUAGCUCCACCAAUAGCCAUGCUUGUAUAUUGACAAAUUUCUUCCCAUUUCAAUUAUACUUUUAACCCAAAACUAGACCAUUUAAAUCCUCAUUCAAGUUUUGCAUUAAACCAUCAAUUUCAUAAUAAUGCCCAUGGAAACCACCAUAUGAACUAUCAAUAAUUCAACAUGAAACAUCAUAAACAAUCCAACAAGAAAAUUUUUGGCGAGCCAAAUUUUCAAGAUUUUCAAUCACCAAAAAAUUCAUUUCCAACAUGGAAAUAUAUCAAUGCUCAAAAGCAACUAUGAAACAACAUUCUAAGAAAUUAUUCUGCAACCAAUUUUCUGUCGAAAAAAAAAUCGGCACUCAUUCUAAAUUUUCCAUCAUUGUUUUCUCGGAUGGAUUUUCCUUACAAUUUAAGAACAAAAUUUCAAAUUACAACAAAAUUAGGAAAAUUAAAAUUAGCUUAAUAGAGCCUUAUACAGCCUAUUCGAAAAAUCGAAAACAAAAAUAAUUCUUAUGAACUUGACACAUCGAAAAACAAAAUCAACCCGUAACUUAAAACCAUACAUUUUGGUUGAACUCUGGGAUACCAAAAGCUGCAAAACAAAGGUUAGCUUGUAUUUGAACCAGACAUUAGACAAAUUGCUUUGAUACCACUGUUGGAUUUCAACCUUUUGCCCAACUUUUGCAAUGGUAAACAUAUAGGAUAGGUAAUAGAAAAUUUAUACUUUGACAUUUUUUUACGACAAAAUAAUCGAGAGGAAUAAGAUCAUUACCUAGGUUUCACAAACCUAAAUUCCUUGUUCCUUGUAUUCAAUAUAGAACAAUCUAUAACUCUAAUACCCAUGAUCUUUCACUCAAUCUUACCGUAGUGUAUCAUCAAGUGGGUGAUGAUGCUUUGUAAGAUUUGAGCUAGACUCACUUUUGGAACGGGAAAAAAAUUCUCUUGUUUUGGUUUCCAAUUUACAGGAGGUGAAAAAUGAGAGGAAUCACCUACUUCGAUAUUUCCAUGCCCCUUUAUAUACUAAGGAGGAAAAGACCAAAAUGCCCCACCAUAUUAGAAAACAAAUUCAAUCUCCAUAUUAAGUUCCACAAAGUCAUAAAUUUUGCAAACAAAUAAAUACACAUAUGAAGGUAGCUUGAUUGAGGACCAAUGGAACAUCUAAUUGUGGCUCCUAUGAAAUUAAUCAAACAUAAUAUCAUAGUCAAUCGAUCACUCCACUAAAGUCAAUUGAUUGUACUAUACUAAUCAAAUCUACUUACAUGAAGCUAAUAAUUGUCCCACAAACUACUAAUCCUUGUAUUUGUUUCCCAUGAAUUGAUAUUCGCUAUCCACCAAUAAAUUACAUCUUUAUCUUUGAGUUACAAAUUCACUUUUUCCAUGAUCAACCGAUGUUACCAUAUUUUAAAAGGAUAAAACAUCAAUUCCACUAAUGAAAUGGAAUUACUUUGAUUAGGGAUUUACCUUAUCAUGCAUCUUAGAAUUUCUAAAAGGGAAUAUACUAUCUCUAGCAAGAUAUAUAUCAUGAUGCAUCUUAGGCAUACACAAACUACAUGUUGAAUCAAUAAUCGCUCAAGAUCAUAAAAAUAUAUAACCUUUAUGUGGGGUCUUGCUCAUAUGUGACUCAAAGUCAUCGCUAACCCAUACAUUAGCCUAAGUAUCCUUCAAGGUUAAAAACUCCUACAAGAUAGUAGCUAGGAGAGCACAAGUCAUUCAAAUAGCAGUAGAUAUAUUCUUCGUAGGUCUUGUUCAAUAUAUAACCAUAUGCAUUGGCCUAUUACCUUAAAGAACCACAGUAAUAACCAAUACAAGUUACCUUGCCUACAUAGGAGGUAGCACACUGCAACAAUACUAAACUACCUAAGUUCAUGAAGUAUUGUGAACAAUAGUAUCAAUCAAUAAGGAAUCCAUAAUUAUGUCUUCUAUAUAUCUACUUACAUCCAGUAUGUGUACAAUAUAAACCAAUUGAGCUAAAUAUCCAUAAAAAUGAUGAAGAUAAAGAAACUAUCAAUGCACAUGAUACUAAUGAUUGAAUAAGAAUCAUACAUUACAUUACACAUGUUGCAUCAUGUCUCACUAUAUAAGGCUUAAAACCUAACAUAACUAACUAAGAUGACUCAUGUCAUCACAAAAAAUUGCUAAUUGUCUUCCUUAAUAAUAAGGUUGCAACAUCAAAUGUAGCUGAGUCAAGUGAAAGACUCACUCACCUCCAAGUACAUAAAGUAGUUGGGUGAUACAACAUAUACAUCUAUGUUGGUACAAGUNNNNNNNNNNNNNNNNNNNNNNNNNNNNNNNNNNNNNNNNNNNNNNNNNNNNNNNNNNNNNNNNNNNNNNNNNNNNNNNNNNNNNNNNNNNNNNNNNNNNACAUAAUGUAGAUGGGUGAUACAACAUAUACAUCUAUGUUGGUACAAGUGGGAAAGCAAACAAUUGAAUUUGCCUUAUUGGUCUUAUUAUUUGUCCAACAACUGUAAACAUGAUAGUCAACACCAUUGGAACACAAUACAAUGGACCUUCAUAAAGUAUACUCAUAUACCCUAAACUUUAUAGUAAGAGAAUCGAUAACCUAUUUAUGUUUUUGAGUUAUUGACCUCCAAAACCAAAAUCUUAACAACCUAAAACAAAUACAUUUAUCAAAACUUAUAACAAUCGAGCAAUUCAUCAUUCCUUCCAAGGGAAUGCUUUUAAUUGGAUAGAUAUUAAGUCUAAAUGCAUUUACAAUUAGGAUCAAAUGGAGCGCAAAUUCCUCAAUUGCCUCUAUGGUACCCAACGGAUGGUAAGCAUGAUGGAGCUCAUAAACAAAAAUCAAAAUAUAUAUAUAUAUAUAUAAAAUUGGAAAUAAUGGUGGUUGGAUUUUAUGAAAAUAUUAGGAAAUAUUGAACAAAAAUCCGAAAAAAUACUUUAGAAACAAAAAUUGAUCAAAAGUCAUAAAACUAUUAAGAAAAACUUCAAGAAAUGAUAAAACAAGUUUGAUAAUGAUAUAUAAAACUUAAAAACAUAUUUAAUACUAAUGGAUGAUUUAAUUAAUUUAGAUAUAUCCAAAGAUAUAAAAAAAAAAUGAUAUAUAAGUAAUAUUAGUUUUUUUAUUUAAAAUUGUUUAUAAUUCUUUUUACAAGUUUAUGGUUCUCUUAUAUUUAAUUAAUCUACAAUAUAUAUAUAUAUAUAUAUAUAUAUAUAUAUAUAUAUAUAUAUAUAUAUAUAUAUAACUCAUUAAUAAGAUUAUUGCAAUUAUUCUAUAUUUUUAACAAUUAAUUAAUAAAAUUUUCAAAUAAUAUAAUUAAAUUUAUUUUAAUAUUUAAUUUUGCGCAUGCAUAUAUCACAAAAUCAUCUUAAUUAUAUUAUUUGCAUCUUUUUAAGAAGGGAAAAGUUAUCAUAGAGGCUCUAGUGUCAUUUUUCCCUACCAUGAGCUUAAGUUCAAGCCUACACACUUGCUUUUAGGUUUUAAAAGGUUUUUAACAAUGUGCUAAUAUUGUAAUAGGGUUGUUAAAGGAAAAAUCAAUGAUUUAUCAAAUUUCCCAAAUUUUUACUAAUAAAUCGACAAUUAAUUCUCAAUUGAUUGCUUCACCUAAUUCCUCCUCCAUUUUUCAUAUAAGGGAGCAUCGAUAUACCAAAUUAUUGUUGACAUUUCAAUGAUAAAAUUGCAACAUUUUAACCCUUGCUCACAAAUACCAAGUAGUGGAAAAUGAACACAACAUGGAUUACAUUAACUAUUGGCGUUUUUUAAGAUUUGACUACAAGAAUAGACUCUUUGAGGUUCAAACAAUGAAAAUGUGCAUAUAAGGUAUGUGUUAGGGCCUUUUAUACAUCUUCUAAGGGAUAUGAUCCUACACCUUCAAAGAGUUAGCUACUUGAGCAUAUGAUAUGAAAUUCAAUAUAGCCAACAAUGGUGCAAAAAAAAGACUUUAUCAUUGAUCAACAAAGGAAGAGAAAGAAAUGAUGGGAAGAGGUUUGAGAAGUCCUCAAAGAAACCUAUCAAGGAAUCAAUGACAACGAAUGUGGCUUCCAUCAAAAUUUUAACACAAGACAAAAAGAAAGAGGUAAGAGAGGUAGAAUAAACCUAACCUCUCAUGCUUUGGAUACAUUCAUUGGAUUAGUUGAAAAUAAGUAUUUGUGUGUAAAUGUCAUUUUGAGCUAUGAUUUUUGUAUCAACAUUUAUCUACUUCAAUCUUCUAAAAAAUAUAUCCUUAAAUCGACUUCUUAUUAGUCCAAUUCAUAUAUUCUAUCUUAAUGAAAAUAAUAAAUAUCAUAUCUUUUUAAAAGUAUUGACUUAAAUCAACUUAUUAAUAGCACAAAAUUGAUGUCAUUGUUUAACCAUUAACAUUGAGUGUAAUUCUAAAAUUUUGUCAUAUCAAAAAGCAUAAGCAAAUUAUAGAUUUAAAAGAAUCAAUGCUUCUUCUUAUUUUUAUAAACUAUAGAUCUAUUACCAAUACUAAUGAAUUAUGAAUACCAUUGAGGAUAAGGAAUGGUAGGGGGUGGGCUUUUCCGAGUAUACCCACUCCUUAUUGUCCAUAAUAAGAAGGGUUUGGGAAGUUUUUAAAAACUAGGGAUAGUUUUAGGACAGGUUCAGGUAUGACUUUGUCCCGUCCGAUCCCCCAAUAUAUAAUUUAAAAAAAAAUAAAAAUUGUUUUAGUUAUUUUUUUUUCAUUUUUCAACAUUUUAAUUAUAAAUAAAAUAUUUCAUUUCAUAAAAAUAAAUUAUAAAUAUAUAUAAUUUUUUUAUUUAUAUAUAAUAUCUAUUUUUAAUAAAAUUUUUAAUUUUGAAAAUAAAAAAAUUGAAAUUGUUUUAAAAAAUAUUGGAAAAUUUUAAAUAAGUCAAAACACCGUAGGCAUGGGAAUUCCUAUACUUACCCUACUCCACUCCACUGCAUUUAUUUAUUUAUUUUUGUUUUGUGUAAAUGAAAAUAAAUAUAAAUAAACAGGAAUAGAAUUGGAAUGAGAUGAAUCGUCCCAAACCUACCUUAAUGUCAUCCUAUCUAGGAUGUUGGCAGUUGCAAACAACACUAGUUCUAAUUAAUGUGUAGGUUGAAUUAUGGGAUUGUUUCAAAACCUUUUUGGAGCAUGGGAGAAUCUGAAUGUGUUGAACCAUGAUAGUAAAGCUACCAAAGAAUAUGCUUGUACUUGUUAGCGUUUUUGAAAUGCAAAAUGGGUCAUGUAGACACACAUGUUUUGAUCUCAAUUCACUUCUUAUGCCCUCUUCUUAUUCUAUUUAUUUUCAAUUCAGCAUAAAUAUAGUUUUUUAAUCUUUAAAGAAAAAUAUGUAUUUAAAGGCAAAAAUGCUAAAAAUACAUAUUUCAUUCCAUUUCCUCCCCAACUAUUAAGUGCAAUCAACCGAUUCAAUUUUGAUUUUGACUUUAUUUCUUUUUGUUCUCUAAUUUAUAUUUUUACCAUUUUUUUUUCCUUUAAACUCUGUUUGGUUCUUAGAAGAUUUGAGGGAAAAUGUAAGGGAAAGAAAACAAAGAGUUUUAGUACGAGGAAAAUGAAAUAUUGAUAAAUUAUUUUUAUUUACUAUUUCAAACCGUUUUUACUUAUUUUAACUCAUUAAUAUAAAUAUUAAAUAAUUCAAAAAUGCAUAAGGUUAAGGUUUUAACUAAUUUUAAUUAUAUUUAUUUAUUUUUAAAUUUUAUAUGGGACAACCAAACAUGAUAAAUCAUUUUCUUUAUUAUUAUUUUUCUUUCCUUAAUACUCAUCGGAACCAAAUAUGACCUAAAAGUUUAAGAGACUUGCUAUUAAUAAAACAUAAAAAAUGAAUCCAAAUAGAUACUAAAAGAUCAAAUUUUCCAAUCCAAAAAAAAAAAAGAAAAAGAAAAUUAUCAUAUCCAUCAUGUUGGAACAUUAGUUCCACUUGCAUAAGAAAUAUAAAUUGUUACCCAAGUAAGAGUCUAUUUUAUAAUAUUUUUAAAAAUUAUUUAUAAUUUAAAAAAAGUCUUAAAGAAAAUUUUUGCUCGUAUGUUAAAAUUUAGAAAAUACUUUUAAAAAUUUGAAAAAUCACUUAUAAUGCUUCUCAAACAAAUACUUAAUAAAAAUAUCAUCUUAAAAUACUUUUAGAAACAUUUUUUUUAAAUAUUAAAUGAAAUUAAUUAUACUAUAAAAAAGCAUAAUAACUUUAAAAAUAAACAAUUUAAAUGGUUAAUUAAUUUCAAUAAUAAUAUUAAUUCUAUCAAUAAUANNNNNNNNNNNNNNNNNNNNNNNNNNNNNNNNNNNNNNNNNNNNNNNNNNNNNNNNNNNNNNNNNNNNNNNNNNNNNNNNNNNNNNNNNNNNNNNNNNNNGUACUCACCAAUNCGUUUGAAUUGAUGUUACAAUCUAUAGUUCAUUUUCAUAUGAUUGUAAAAAAAAUAAAAAAUACAAGUGUAAUUUGGUCAAAUUGACUUUACCCAAUUUGAUGUUGACUAAAUAUUUGGACAAAUCAUUAUAGAGUAAUAAAUAAUAAAAGUGUAAUUUGGACAAAUUGAUUUUACCCAAUUUGAUGUCAACUGCAUCUUUGGAUGAAUGUAAAUAAUCAUCAUGGAUUCCAGUGGUCUGAACUCUGAAGUCAAUUUGGAUGGGCUUGGGCCAAGCCCAAGUUCCACCAAAGUUACUGUUUUUAUUAUUAUAUAUUUAUAUGAUUUUUAAAUCAUUUUAAGAAUUUUAACUUAUAAAGUUCUCUCUAAUGGAUAUUAUCUUAUCUAUUAUUUAAAUAUUUAUAUAAAUAUGAUUAAUAUGGAAUAAGUCAACUCAAUUCACUCUUACCCGGGUAAAUUAAAUAUUAUCUAACCGAAUUCAAUUUGAAUUGAGGAAAAAAAAAACGAAGGUAUGAUUAAUUUUGGAUCAAGUUUUUCGUUUGUAUUUUGACUUUUUUUAUUCAGUUAAAAGUAACUUAUCGUUGUUAUCAAUCAAUAUAAAUAAACUGAACCUAUUAAUAAUAAAUUCACUUUAAUUAUAUUGAUAAAUAUCAAUAUGCUAUUUUUAGUUGAAUAAAAAAAAUCAAAUAUUUUGGUGGUAUUUGUUUUUUUUACUUAACUUUAAAUAAACCUUUAAUACUUAUAAUAUUAAGUAUUAAGUUAUUUAUUUUUGUAGUAUUUUAUUUAUAUUAAAUAUUAAAAAUAAAAAAAUUAACAUAUUUAUUUUUCCAUUUAGAAAAAAAUCAAAUAUUUUAAUUUUUUAUAUUCAACAAAAAAAUUUAUAAUAAAUCAUGAAAAUAUAAAAAAACAAAUAAUUUAAAAUUUAAAAACAAAUUGCUUUCCGUUAAAAACUAAAAAAACAAACAAAUACCGACUUAAUUAAGAUUGCUAUAAUAUUUGUAGAUAAUAUUUUAUAACAACUAAAAUUCACGUGUUAGAUAGGAAAAAUUAGAAAUAUAUUUAUUAUUAUUUAAUAUGAAUGGAAAGGCCACAAACUCACAAACUCACAUACCACAAUCAUAUUAUAUUCGUGGGUUAAUAAUUUUUUUUUAGCCAUUUUAGGUAAUAAUAAAAAUUUAGAAAUAUAUUAAUUAUUAAUAGGGAUAAAAGGACACAGACUUCAUAAAUAUUACCCUUUUCUAUUUUUCAUAAAAAAAAUAUGUGGUAAAGAGAUAAAAUUUUAUGGAAUACUAAAUCUACAAAAUCAUCCAAAAAAACCCUAAAAAAACCACGUGAUCCGAUCCAAACCCAAAAAUCAUCCCAAAAAAACCCUAGAAACUCAAAACCCUAGAUACAACCCAGCCCUAUAUGAUCCAAUGUAACCAACCCAGCCCAAAAAUCAUGCAAGAAAACCCUAGAAAAUCAACACCAGACAACUACGGGAUGGAUGCAAUCCAACCUAAGAAUCAUCUAAACCAACCCUAUAUACAAACUAUACAAAUAAUCAAUAUGCAUAAAAGCAGUGCGGAAGAAUCCGACCCGACCGGGAAGAAAACCCAAGAAGAACAGAAACCCUAAUAGCAAAAGGUGGGCCCCACAAAGCGUUGAUCCAAUCACACAAAAUUCUUGGCACCCAAAACUAGUCAAGUAUGGAACCAACGCUGUUCUGCUCCCCCACAUUUGUCACUGCCUCUCUAUACACACAAAUCCCCCAUUAAUAUAUUUCCCUUUUUCUCUUUUUUCCUUUUUUUUUUUCAUUUUUCUCAUUUCAAUUGCUAUUUUCUUUUUCCUUUUUUCUUUUUCCUUAGAAGAGAGAGAGAGGGGGAGAAGAAGGCAAGCCCUUUGUUGUUUCUAUAUCUCCUCCUCACUGUUCAUCCGUUCAAUAAAUUAAUAUUAAAAAAAUCGGAAAAAAAUAAAUUAAAUAUAAUUUUAUUUUGGGUUCCGCCUCUGCUCUGCUGCUCUUCUGCCUCUUUCUCUCUCUCGCUUCUCCGACCUUCGAAACAGCUACGGUUCGCCAUUGGUAAAGCUCUGUUUUUUCUUUCCAGGUUUGUCUUGUUAUUCGAUCUGUGGGACGCCGACGGUUUUCAUCAAUUGAUUACUCGAUUUUUUUUGUUCUCUUGGAUUUUGAUUUUAAAUCUUUUUAGUUUUAGGGUUUGAUUUUUCAUCAGGGUUUUUUGGGGGUUUUUUCCUUGCGAUCUUCUUUGUUUGGGUGAGAAUUGUUGUGGGUGUUAUUGGGCUUCUGUUUCUUUGAAUUGGGUUUGUGGAUUCUUUCUCAGGGUUUCUGUUUUUGAUUCUUUUUGGGCUUAUGUUUUUUUUUUUUGAUUGUUUGAUUUUAGGGUUUAUUGCAGUUUGUUUGUUUUUCCUUUGAUGCGGCUUUUCGUUUCCAAGGAUUUUAAUUGAUGGUUGGUUUAAAAUUUCCGAUGCAAGUGUUAUAUCUUCUGUUUGGUUGCUGAGAAAAUCAAGAUGGAGAAAAGAAGAAAAAAAAUAAAAAUACGAAUUUUCGGAAGAACUUACCUUAACUAGGCCACAUAGUCGUAUAAAGAUUUGUUGAUUUAUCGGGUCCUCAUCAAUGACAAAUCUAAGAUUUCAAAAUUUGCUUUCGUUUAUUUUCUUACAUUCUCUUAGCAGCCUAAUGGUGCCUGGCGGUUUCUGAACCGAUUACUCUGAGGAGUUGCGGUCUGUUGUGCUUGAUGGGAUACUUUUUGUGGAAAAUUAUAGCUUUCUGUUUAUUUCUAAUUUUGCCAUUUUCAAUUUGAUUCUUUUAAUCGUCUCAAACGGGAAUUUUUUUGCUUUUAAUGCAUAACUGCAGAUUUAAGUUUGGGGUUUAUGGUUGAAAAUAUUGGUAAUUAUUUGCUAUAGCUAUAUUGGUAAUUAAGCUUUCUCUCAAAAUGGUGUUUCCUUGGCUAAUUAUUGACUGUUCUCUUGUGGAGUUCCUUGUUUUUUUUGGCAGUGGGCGAAGUUGAAGUAGUGUGGGGGAGGGGGUUUGCAGUGGACAUGGCUGGGAUUGCAAGUGAGGAGAGCGGAAUUGGUAGGUCUACAGAUAUAAUUUCAAGUGGGCAACGAUGCCAGUCGGGAGAAGCAUUGGCAGAAUGGCGGUCCUCUGAGCAAGUGGAAAAUGGAACCCCAUCAACUUCCCCACCUUACUGGGACUCGGAUGACCCCGAUGAUACUGGUAUGGUUUUUUUUCUAAUCCUUUACUUAAUGUAGAUGUCUUUCCUUGUUUCCUUGCUUUAUUUAAUUAUUACUUACCUGUAGUACACCUUUGUGGGAAAGCCGUUUCUCUAAAAAUAGGAAAUUUCAAUUGAGGGUAAUGGUUUAUGAACCAUGCUAAGUUGGAGGCUUGUAUUUUAUGGUCUUGAUGAAAGUUUAAAACUGCAAAUGUACAAAGGAGAUUGAGCUUAGAGGCUUUCAUUUUUAUUUUAUUUUUAAAAAUUUUGAAAGUCAAAAAAAUAUGUGGCCCAAUUCAAUGUAGUUCUAAUAGAAGCCGCUGCUAUUUAAUGUGUAGAAGAACUUUAAUUUUAAAAACUCUUCCUGCAUGCCCAUUACCAACCAUUGCUGAAAGAUGCUUGUCAGUCCCAAAAGGAUUCUGCUCUGAAGUGCCUUUUAUGUUUUACUAAAUACACUGAAAGAUGCUUGCUAAUGAGGCACUCAAGAAGCUUACCAAAUUGACUUUGUAUUUGUUGUUGGAUUAUGUAAUGGAGGUGGAGCUCUGAGAUAAUAGUGACAAAGAUGACAGCAACUUUACUUUUCAGAUGGAAAAUACUUCCCCAUCCGGGGCUCUAGCUUGUACAGUUGCCAAUAAAAAUGAUGGAAUACUUGCACCAUGGUCUGGAGAGAGGGGAAAAUUUAAGUACUUGAAAUUUAAGUAUUUGAAAUUUUUAUUACAUGCAAAUUUAAAGGGGCUUGUUCCAGAUGCUAUUUUGAUUUAGCUUGGUAGGGCCCAGGUUUUCUUGCGGUAUGUCAUUUUCUGAUUUUUCUUUAAGGUUGAAACAAUUUUCUCAGGCCUUGGGUGUCUGUAUGGCGUUAUGGAGUUAAUACCAUUUUUAACUUAUUUUGUGUUAUAUGGGAAGACAUGACCGGAGGGUAUUCAAGAAAUAAAUAGAGAUACAUCGAUUUUGUAAUGAACAAAAUUAUGGUGGAUGCUUUUUUCGCUUCUUGAUCUUCGUCUGAACAAAAUUGUGGUGGCUCAAUCUUCUUGUUUGUUAGGAACAUCUUCAAUGUGCAGUUUUCUGGAUUUUCUUUUUGCUAGCACUCAGCCUUAUCUAUUUGCCACCCUAUCUAAAAUGGAAAAUGGCGUCUCUGCUAGAACUCACGUAGUUUGAGCCAGGGUAGGAGCUCCUAUCUAGUUAAUAGCAUGGGUUGCAAGUAAAUUGUAUCUAUUUUGGAUAAUACAAAUUAAAGCUUCAUGUAAUCACAAAGUGUCUUUUGGUCAGGGUGCAAUUUUUUUUUUCCCUAUUUGUGAGAACACAGAUUUAGAUAUUCAUUUUGUUUUUAUUUAUGUGGGAAACAAACAUGUUGGGUACAUAAUUGCUUCCUAUUUUAAAAACUGAAUCAGUAAAUAGAGCAUUAAAAUUGAACUUUGCAUCGAAUGCUAUGGCAGAAGCUUGUGUCAAACCCAUUGUUAAUGACUUAAUUGAAAUAAUAUGAUAUAAAUCUAGUGCAUUGAAGUAUAAUUGAGAUACAAAUCAACUUGCAACUAGGCUACCUAGAUUUUCAUAUUAUUUAGGUCCAAAUUAUUGAAAAGAUUUUGGAUUUUGGGGUAACCUAUAUAUAUCUCCAAUGUAAUUCUAAAAUAUUGUACUUUCAAUUGAGACUUUUUGUGUUCCCAUGAGGGAUAAGUGUUCAAAGAAACCUGCCAGAUAUCAUUAAAAAUUGUGAAUGUUACAUAGAAAACAAAACUUUAAUUCUGAAAGAGGCUUCUUUGGUUUUUCCCCCCUUCUGCUGUUAUAUGUAUCCAAGAUUGAUCUCUGCUCUUCUAUUAACUUUCUAUGAUUUCGAAAUACCCUUAGAACUGUGGAAGUUUCCUUUAGUUGGAUAUGUUUGAUCAAAGUAUGAAUCAUCUUAAAACCACUGGAUGCAUCCACUUAUAAAAAAAGAAAAAUCUUAAAACCGCUGGAUCUUCAUUCAUAUAAAUGUAAAAGAAUUUUGCUUCAUGUAAUGGUGAAAUAGUAUUUGAAUGAGGAGGUCCCAGCCCUUUUAAUACGUUUCUAAGCUACCAGCAUUUUUAUGCUGCUUUGGUUGCACAUUCAGAACAUUUUCACCUGGACUAGCCAAACUUAUUCAUGAAAUGGAAUUUUGCAUGGCCAUGGCUUUAGUAUGUACUGAUGAUUAUAGUUUCCUCUCUUAAGCAAAUGCUGUUUGCCGUGAAUAUUAGUUUUCCAUAUUUGAAGGGAGUUUAUCAUGUUUUUAAUAUGUAUUUCACAACAAAACUAGAGCAUGAAUUACUACUUCCUUCAUGCGUGUUGGAUAUGUUGUUCAGUAAAGAUAGUGGGAAUAUGCUGUUCAGUAAUGAUUAAGUUUUAAUUUUUUGUUGCAAUCUAUCCUAUUCUUCUUGUUGAGAAUCAUAAGUGCUGUCUCUUCUGCUUUACCCUUACAUGGUUAAAAAUUCUUCAUAAAUUAUUUUUACUGAUUUGUAGGGGCCAAGCCAUCUGAGUUAUAUGGAAAAUACACUUGGAAGAUUGAGAAAUUUUCACAGAUUAACAAGAGAGAACUCCGUAGUAAUGCGUUUGAGGUUGGCGGUUACAAAUGGUAUGAAGUUUUUAAUAUAAAUUUUUGGUCAGAUGUGCUGUCUUCUGGUUCACUUUCUUAUUUUCUUUCUAGUAGAUUCUCAUUCUUGGAAUGCAUCAGCAUCAAAUUCAAUUUAUGUAUCGUAGUCAAAUUUAAAUAUAUGUUUAUAUAUAUAUAUAUAUUUGUUUUUUUUUCGUAUGCAUGAACUAUAUUUAUGUGUGCAUAUAUGUUUAGUGGAUAGAUAUACAUGGGUGCACUUUUACAUCGGUGUAAUGCAGCACAUAGAGUUCAAUUUAAAAAUGUGGUAUGACACAGAAUUUAAUUAAAAAGGGGGUGUGAAACAUUUAGGCUUUAUAAGAGGGAGAAGAAGUUGAAGGGAAAAGGAGAAUCAAAGGCCUGGACUAUUGUGAAGAGAAAGAAGAAAAUCUGUUUGUUUAGAUUUGAAAGAGAACUAAGGAGUUGGAAUGCUUCGUGAAUUAUAUGAUUGGAAAAGCUAAAGUGAGUAAGAAUGUCAAGGUUAGGAACGAGAUACAAUGUACUUAUAAAGUUAAAGGAUUCUUUCAUGGAAUGUGAGGGGAGCAAAUGACAAGAGGAAAUUUAUAAAGUCCCUAAUUUGAUCGCAGAGGAUAGACCUGGUGUGUUUACAUGAAACAAAAAUUCAGAAUAUGAUGGUAGACAUUGUAAGAAGCUUAGGGUGGGAAGACUCCUAGGAUGGGGAGUGGUGGAAGUUAAGGGUGCAGUUGGAGGAGUGGUAGUCUUUUGGGAUAAGAGGGCGCUAGAGCUUAAUGGCAUAGAGGUGGGGGAUUUUUCCAUUUCAUGUCAAUUCAAGUGUAUUGGAGGAUGGUUUUAUUUGGGUAUUCUUUGGGGUAUAUCAUCCAACUUCAAGGAGGGAAAGGGAGGAUCUAUGGGCUGAGUUAGGGGCUGCGGGAAGAUCCUUGGUGUGUAUGUGGUGAUUUUAACAUAGUUAGGUUCUAAAUGAACAUAGCAGCGGGGAUAGGUUGUUUGCAGCAUGCAAAGAUCUUUAGAGAUUAUAAAGGAGUUAAGAGUUGCGUGAUCAUCCUUUGCAAGGACUCCUUGCUUCUCCAUAAAGGAUAGUAGAUGCUAUUGGUCUCGCCAUGGAUGAUUUAUUCCAUUUCUUAGAUUCUUUAAGUAAUAAUGUUAUAAUAUAUAUCUUGUGACGAGAAAAAUUGCUGUAGCCUCCAUGCCAUGUUGCACAUGGUGACACCUUGAGCUUGCAUAUGUGUUCCAGUGUAUCAACAUGAUCACUGUUGUAUAACUGUUACAUGUCUGAAGUGGUCUCAUCUUGAUGAUGGAGUUUUGAACAAUGACAAUUCUGUGAUAUUCUUGUCAAAUGCGUGUUCCAUAGUUAAAUAUAUGAUUUAAACACACUUGCAAUGCAAGCCCAUUCAUUCUAGCAUGAAAAGUAUUUCCACUUGUUAGUUUUAAUUUAAGCUUGUGCUGUGGUUGGCAGGUACAUUUUAAUAUAUCCCCAAGGUUGUGAUGUCUGCAACCACCUCUCCUUGUUUCUUUGUGUUGCUAAUCAUGACAAACUUCUUCCAGGUUUCUUAUUACUUAAUGAUUUUUCUUGAACAAUCAAUGUUCUCAAUCCAUGGUUGAUAUAAUAUAAUUUUUGCUUUGUUUUUGAAACAGGAUGGAGUCAUUUUGCACAGUUUACAAUAGCCGUGGUUAAUAAAGAUCCAAAGAAAUCUAAAUAUUCUGGUUAGUUGGUUAGAUGGUGGUUUAGUUGUUGUAAUGGAGUCUUUGAAUUUACCAUCUUGUGUCUUAACACAGAAAAUGCCAAAUUUGUAGAUACGUUGCAUCGAUUUUGGAAGAAAGAGCAUGAUUGGGGGUGGAAAAAAUUCAUGGAACUAUCAAAAGUGUUAGAUGGGUUUAUUGAUGCUGACACUCUUAUUAUAAAGGCUCAAGUCCAAGUUAUCAGGUGGUUUAUAAUUCAGUGCUUUUGAAGUUGAAAGUUUGUUUGGUCUUUGGGAUGGUACCCUUCAUCAUUUUCCCCUUUCUUCUCCUUUUUAUUUUUUUUAUUUUAAUAUUUUUUUUAACACACAGUGUAGGAACAAAAUAAAUUUAGGCGCCUAUAAAGGGGGGCACAACCCAAGUGUGCCAGGAGUACAAGGCAUGCCAAAAAAACCAAAAAUGGAAAAUAAAGACACCAAAAUGACCUAACAUCUUCUCAAAGUAUCAACAAAAAUCUAAAACUGAAAAGUUAGCAUCAACUAAAAGGCCCCUAAACCACUUGAGAUUAAAAUCUUACUGCUGGCAAUUUACUCCUAUUUUUUUUUCCCAAUUAUGUUUCUUAUAAUAGAAGUUUCUAUGCGAAUCAUAUAUUGUUAACAUAUAUUUGCAAAUUAUAUUUUUUUAUCAUAUAAAUUUCUUUGCAUCUCAUGGCAAUGCAAAUCUGAGGAUAAGAGUGUUAGUUAGUAAUGCUAAUUGUGGUAUGCUAAUUUAAUCUUUCUCAUUGAAGUUUGUUCUGUGAUCAAGUCAUUCUGUUACAAUUCAUUUCUAGAUAUGGACUUCCGGCAAAUAUUUAUUGUGUAUCAUCAGAUUAUAUCUGAAGUGAGAAAUGACGUAAAGAAGAAUUUAUAUCUCUAUUAAGCUAGUCUAUAUUUUUUAAUCUCAUUAGCUUGGAGGGGUUGGGGAUUAAUUACCAACCUGAAAAUUUGAAAUAUUUUUCUCCCCUUCUAAAGAUACCUUUCUUUUGCAGCAUGUAAUAGUAAAUUCAAUUUUCUGCUGGAAUUGGACUACCCAGCACUUACGCAUGACACUUUCAUCUUUCUUUUAAGGAUACCCCUUCUUUUGCUGCAUGCACUUUUAAAUCAAUUUUUUGUAUGCCCCUUGUUUUGCAGUAACUGUACAUUCAACUUUCUGUUGGACUCGCACUACCUGACACUUGCACUUCUCAGAUUUAAUAUCUGAGGGUUGUGCAUAACAUGCUUGAAAUGAUGGUAGUAGGCCUGUCUUACAACAAUAACAGCAGGAACAGCACCACUCCCAACAACAUUUUAUGUGCAUAGUGUGCCUGUUGUUCAUAACUAAUGAACAACAAGGUUGUGUGCCUGUUGUUCAUAACUAAUGAACAACAAGGUUACAUGGAUUAUGGUAUUUGUGUCUGCUGCUGGUAUGUUUAAUUUAUCCAAUUGCCAGAUCUCAGGAUGUGGGAAAUCGGCUGAAUUAUUGAAAUGCCUGUUCAAUUUUCAUUUCUGCAUUAAAAUAAAGUGAAGUUUCUCUGCAACAUAGCUUGUUACACAUGGGCAUUAACAAAAUUGAGUUUAUUUUGUAAAAAAUGAACAUAUUAUGAAGGUUUUUUAGGAAAUUUUGAGUGAACCAUGAAUGUGCUCCCUCUCUUUCUUCAUUGGCUGUUCCUCUUAGUUUGAUAGAAAGGUUAUCGUAGAUUCAAUUUUCCAUUGGCCUCAUCUUGAUUGUAGGCUUAAAUUUUUGAAAUAUUUCUAGUGAGUACUUUUAGGCUUCUCCUCUCACUAAUAUGAUAGCCUUUUGCUUCUGGUUAUGUGCACAAUUUAACAUCUUGGUGACCAAUUCCUUUUUUACUCUUUUGAGUUAUAGGGAGAGAGCAGACCGCCCUUUCCGUUGUCUUGAUUGCCAGUACAGGAGAGAACUUGUUCGUGUCUAUCUUACAAAUGUGGAGCAAAUUUGCCGGCGUUUUGUGGAAGAAAGAAGAGGCAAGCUUGGGAAGUUGAUAGAGGACAAAGCUAGAUGGUCAAGGUAGCAUAUUUUCAUCUUCAGAAUGUUGGAUCAUUUAUAACUUCUAUAGAACUGUAAUUAUCAGUUAUAGUUAACAUGAGCUUCUCCGAAGUGCUGGACUUUAUGGUUUUCAGAUUAAAUCGUCUCCUACUUCUAAUGGUCAUUGGUUUGGCAACUGCUGUAUGUCAUUGUAUUCACUUGUGCAAAAAUUGAACCUUCUUCUUCUUCUUUUUUCUUUCCUUUUUUUUUUUUUUUUUUUAAUGGGGUUAAACCUAUUUUACAGUCUGCUUGGGGGAGACACUUUGUACCUUGAUAUUUUCCAUUCAUAGCUUGUGAUCUAUAAACCUGAUCAUUUUCCUUGUUAUGCUUUACCUUUAGGUUGUCAUUUGUUGGUUGAUCUUGAAUAUUUUUGUUGUUAUGAUUUAUUUUUUCGUGAUAAAUAUGAUCAUUUUCAAUAUUUGCAGCUUCUGUGCUUUCUGGUUGGGAAUUGACCAAAAUGCUAGGCGCCGCAUGUCCAGGGAGAAAACGGACUCCAUUCUGAAAGUAGUUGUAAAACACUUUUUUAUAGAGAAGGAAGUCACAUCCACUUUGGUAAUGGAUUCUUUGUACAGUGGUCUGAAGGCUCUUGAAGGCCAGACUAAUAAGAGCAAGAAGGGGAGGGCGAAACUAUUGGAUGCUGAAGAAAUGCCAGCUCCUAUUGUUCGUGUGGAGAAAGAUAUGUUUGUUUUGGUGGAUGAUGUUUUAUUACUGCUUGAAAGGGCUGCUUUGGAACCAUUGCCUCCAAAAGAUGAGAAAGGUCCCCAGAAUCGUACAAAGGUGAGCUGUUGGAUACCUGCCAAAACCUUUAUGGUAAUAAUGGCUUUCUGGAAAUUUCUUAUUAGCAUGAACCUGUGAGUUAGAUGGGUUUAACUCAUGUUAUGAAAUUAGGUUCUUGCUAUAUGAUAAUAAUUUUGUGUCUGAUGAAGUUUGUGUUAUUCCCUCUCCUCUUAUGUUUCUAUGUGGUGGCAUGUGACCUUUUCUUCUAGAAUGACUUCUCAGCUGCUAAAAGAAUGGAUUGUGUGCUGGACGUUUUAGAAAUGCAAACAAACCAUACUGCAUACACACAAGUUAGUUUUGUACUUAGUUUCCAGGAAAACAGUUUGAUUUGUCUGGUCCUUGAUAUUAUUACUUCAUUAGCAUAACAUAUCUAAAUCACAAUUUAGAUUUCCCAUUUGCACAAAUUAGUUUGAUGCCAAGCAGUUUCUAUCAAGUGUAGAUGAGUAACUAGCUCUAAAUGGUAAUUAAUUGUAAAUAAAGCAGGUUCUUGAAAUAAUCAUUUUUCUUCUCUCCCUCUCUCUAUAUCCAUCUGUGUAUCUAUUCAUUCUUGGUGAAUGAAUCGUUUGUCUCCAAGAUUGCCACUGGGUGUCUUAUGUUAUUCUUUAGUUUUAAGGUUUCAGAAAUCUCUUCAACCUCAAUGUGCUAAUGUUUUGGGCCAGAUGAGAGCAUUUAUCAUUACAUUUUGACUAACCUGGGCCACAUAGGAACUUGGGUAUCAAGCAGUUUCUUCUGUUUAAAAUUGAUCAAAUUUACUUAAACAUGACAUCUUGAUUUAAAAGAUGCAGAGUCAAGUUAUUGCACAAGCAACUAAAGUGUUAAAUCAAUCGAGUUUAUUUAUUUUUUAAAUCAUUAAUAAACCAUCCUGUGGUGUUGUAUGGUUGAUGAGUUCCUUCUGCAAAGGAAGUUGUAUAAAAAAUUAGCAGAAGACUUUGGGGUUAUCUAAUAGACUGAACAAGGACUAUCAUCGUACACAUAGUAUCAGUAAAAGGAAAGUUUAUAAUGAAAUCGCACUUGUAAUUUGACCUCACGUACACCUCACAUAAAACUUCUUAUAGUUGUGUUGGGGGCAGGGGUACUGCUAGAGACAGUAAUCAAGAAGCAAUCAUCUUUGCUCAAGUGUGGGUUGAACAUGAGGUUUGUUGAGUUAUCAACUUUUGUAAGAGCUUAAACCAUUAGGACAUGGGCCCACAAAGUAUUUCAAGCUUGCAUGUGGUUAUGGGCUGCACAUGGGAAUAUUAGCAGUAGGAGAGAUUCGAACUCAAGACCUCUAGCUCCAAUAGACUAAUACCAUGUUAAGGUACCAGCCUUCCUAAAAGCUUGAAUUGUUAGGAUAUGGGUCUUAAUUUACAUUAAGCUAACAAGAUUUUCUUGGGAUUUCUCAUUCCCACUUGAGUUCUCCUUUGUUUAUUCAGGGAUCUUCUUUUUUCUGUUUUUAUUUCAUGCAGCUGCAUUUAUUUUCUUCCCUUAUGCUUGAAGCGGAAAGAUUCCGCCUCAGAAUCUUCUUUUCUGUUUCUUUCUUCUUGGGCUUUUUCCUUACCAAUAUGAAUCUUGACUUAACUUUUGAUUGAAAAUUUAUUAUAAAACCACCUAGCAGGAAUUGUCUGACGUAUAUGAUCUAAUUGGUAUUUUGAUAAGUCAAGGAUAAUAGCAUGGCAUGGCUGUUCUAUUUCUGUUAAAAUAAUUAGGAGUAAGGAAAUUACAAUGAUUUUCUGACAGAAGUAAUGGUGUUGACUUCUAAUAUGAUAUUAAUGUGCUUAUUUUGCAGUGUGGCUAACUUUAUCUAUUUAACAUGUAAUGGUCUUUGUAUUUCUUUUCCUUACCAAUUCCUCUUAUUUCCUUAUUUAUGAGUUCACUGUCUCUUGUAUGUAGGAUGGGGGUCCUGGAGAGGACUUCAACAAGGACUCCAUCGAGCGUGAUGAAAGGCGUCUUACAGAAUUGGGUCGUAGAACAGUUGAAAUUUUUGUCCUUGCCCAUAUUUUCAGGUAAUCCAUCCUCAUUCCUCUUCUAAAAACUGUUUAUUGACUUAGUCUUGAAAUAACUGCUUUGUUUUUUUAGUUAUUGGCGUGUAAUGCUGUUAAUAAAAUAAAUAUUUGUGAGUCUCCUGCUUUUCCUAGAUGUUCUUCUUAGUCAAUAAAGAUCACCUUUAGGGAAUGACUCUUUGAGUUUCUCCUACUCUUGCUGACUGCUUAUGUAACUUGUAAUGAUUAAUCUUCUUGUUGCAAGCUGUCCUUGUUCUUAAUGAUUGGAAGACUGAUGCUGUUAUCUUUUAUUCAAAUGGAGACAAUCCACAACAUAAUUUUUUUAGUUUGGCUUGAUAUUUUUUUGUGAUAAUGGCCAUAUGUUCCAGUGUUUUUUUUUUCUUAUAUACUUUGCCAUCUAUACACUAGCAAAUUAUCUGUUUUUGCUUAUCUUCAGAGUUUUCAGAUAUGUUCUAUCUAAUAAUAGUGUGCAAACUUGUAGAGAUUGAAAGCAAAUCCAUCCUUUUAUCAUGCUUUGUUUGUUUGAAUGUAUUAUUUUAUAUUUUAUAAUGAUCAGUCAAAGAUUAAGUCGCAUACCAAAAUAUGAAGUAUGGAAAUGAGCGGAAAGUCUUCCCUCCUAAAAAUUAGGAGAUGCAUAUUGUGAAACCGUAAUCUUAAUGCCAGUCAAUCUGUAGAAACAAUAUUAUCUUUGAAAUCCUAAAAAUCCUUUAAAAUGAGUAGCAAAUGGAUUUCUUUCUGUUUGAUAUACUUUCUUUCUAGGAAUAUUUGUUAAUUGUUAAAAAUGAGGUUACUGGAGUUUUUAGUGGAUGACAUAUUAUCAUUUUUAAUUUCAUGGAUAACUUUGAUUUUUACGAGGUAGUUAAAAUUUUUAGAACUGUUGUUGAAGAAACCCAUAUUACCUAUAAACAAAAAAUGAUGGGGGUAAGAAAAACUGUAGAUUUUGGAUAUGUUCUUUCUUCUGUAAACUGUUUCUGUGAUCUCAUUUGUCAGGCUAGAAAGAAUGGAGAGUAGCAUAAUUGCAGUGAACUCAUUUUUGGUGGAACUUAUUUUGGUGAUUUGGCUCUGGAUUAGGGUGGCAAUUUUGACACCACAUGACAAUACAGCUUGAAAACGAUACGAAAUUUUGGUGUGUUUGGGUUUGGUGUAUCUUAUUUGUCUUAUAAUUGUGUCAGCCCGUGUAAGUUGUUUAAUAAAUAGUCUGUGUUUGAUUUUGAUUGCUUAACCCAUCUAAACCAUUUAAUCUGUUAAGUCUGUCAAAAUGACACGUUUAUGGAACAACCUGUUUAACCUAUAUAAAUUGAUUUAUCAAUUUUAUAUAUUUAAAAAUUAUUAAAAUUUGAAGUAGUUUUUAAAUUAUAAAUAUCAUAUGGUAAAAAAAAUAAAUAACUAACUAAAGUAAUAUUUCAUUAUAAAGAUUAAAAAUAUUUAAUAAAUAAAUAAUUAACUAAAGUAAUAUUUCAUUAUAAAAUUAAAAAUAUUUUAUAAUUAAAACCAUAGUUGUGAAAGGCGCGCCUAGGCUCGGGGUGGUGUGAUGCCACCCUCUGGCGCCUUGCAUGAAGGCAGGCGACGCCCCUUCACGAAGGCGCCGCGUAGGCGCGCGAGGCACUCGCCUAACUCGCCUCCGGCCAGGUAAGCCCUCCUCCUUCUCCUUCUCUUUUUCAGUCGCUGUCGAGUUGCAGAGGGUUGGGGCUGAGAAACCCUAAUUUUUUUUUUUUGAUUUUUUUGGUCCAAAACGACAUCGUUUUGGCCCUGUUUUCCCUUCCAGCCCCCUUUUUCUGGUAUUUUUGAUCCCGACACCACUCCCAAUCAUGCCCUAGCCUCAGUCGUGUAGUGGAGAAGUGAAAAAGAAGAAGAAGAUGAGGAAAAAUAGAGGAAAAAUAGUCAUGUACCUUCCAGGACCUCAUCAUGUUGAUUAAAUUGAAGUUUUGGAUGAUAUUUGAUGAUUUAUGUGUUUAGGACAAAUAAAUUAUUGUUAAAUUUGAUUAUAUUAUAUAAAAAUAUAUAUGUAAAUUAGGGUGCGCCUCACUUCACUAAAGCCCGCGCCUUAGGCUCCAAGACUACUUUGCGCUUUGGUGCGCCUUGAGCCUUUUAAAACUAUGAUUAAAACGUUAAAUAGAAAAUAAACAAGUAUGAACUUAAAAAUUUAAUUUACUUUUUAUAUUAUUAAACAUAUUAUAAUCAAAAUUAAAUAAUUAAAUUAAUUAGUAUUAAAUAAAAUUAAAACUUGAAAGUUAACACACCCAAAAAAGUAUUUUUAAAAACAAUAUUUUAAAAUAAUUAAAUUAAAUAAUAGUCAAAAAAAUUAAAACUUGAAAGUUAAAGCACCUAAAAACUAUUUUAAAAAUAAUAUUUUUGUAGUUUAAAAUUUUAGAUAGGUUAAGUGGGUUGUAAUUGGGUUAAUAGAUUUAAUGGAUUAAAAUCGUUUUAGUGGGUUUAAUGGGUUAGAAUCAUGUUAAAAGUUUAUCUGUGUUAAUUCGUAUGCAAUCUAACUUAAUUUAUAUUUUAAACUAUUCGUGGUCAUGUAAUAAACAAGUCAUGUUCAUAUUAAGUUAUUUUGACACUAUUUUUAAAUAGGUUGUAUUCAGGUUGAGUAAAUUUUUAGUAUUUUUGACCUCAAGUCGACUGGACCCAUUGCUGCCCAUUGAGUAAAUUCAGGUUGCUAUUGUAGGAUGAGGAUGAAAUACUUAUAAUCUGAAGGUCUUGCCUUUUUUUACCUAGAACUUUUACCUUCCUUUGGCUGGCUCCAUCCUACUUCCUUGAAAAUGGGAACCAAAAAUAUGAUGGGAAGCCCUUUUUCACCCUCAACAAAACAUCUGUGCUCUCAAGGACAAGAACAAUACUAAUUUUGGACUUUCCUGUACAAUUUAAAGGAUCUACUGUUCUCAAACGCCAAAUGGAGCUUGCAUGAGCAGCAGGGAAGUAUGCUUUUGGAGAUCACAGAUUUCCAAAUCGUAAAAGGGAGUCUGUUUGAAGAUUUGUUAAUGAUAAAAGGGCCAGUGGUUCAUUGUCCUCUUAAGGGGCCAGAGAUAUAAUAUUCUAUUCAAAAUGCUUUUAAUUAUUGUUGUCUCUCUUCUUUACUUUGAGUUUAUCAUCAUUCAGAUGGUUCUCACUCUUAAUCUGGUUUCACUUGAGAAACCAUGCAAAUGCUGAGGUUCAGCUUCUUAACUAAUUGCCUUCUUGCUCAAGGGGAAAUUUAUUAUUUCAAUUUAUGCCACAUUGCAUGUUGGCCAGAUGUAAUGCUGGAUUUUAUUUUAUUUUUUACCUAGUAAUUCACAAUUGAGCUUUGUAAUGAAGACGGUUGUUGUUUGGUACCCGUUUAACAACUUGGUUUUGCUUGCUGACUGAUGGAACAGUGCAAUUACCACAAUGAAUCAAAUAUCUAUGUAUAUAUUCUUUCAAUCAUUGAUUAAUUUGGGUGCCAUCUAGAUACAUUGUUUGUUUUUUGUAAACAGAGAAUUAUAGUAACUUCUACACAAAAUAUGAGAACUUUUAUACAAAAAGUAUUAAUUCAUCCUAUGUUCUUCAAAGUUGCUUCCAUAAUUUUUAAAAUUUUAACACCUCAAAAAUUUC
rnacentral:lncRNA from 1 species